rnacentral:lncRNA from 10 species
CUGUUCUAAUUUCUGCUUCACUGUGGAGUGUCUUCACAGAGUCUUAAAAGAUUAUUGCUAUGAAAUAUUCUUAUACAUGUAACACAUAACCUCUACAAUUCUGCAGUUGUACUUGGCUGUCUUACCUAAUACUCAGUUGCUUUGCUUCAUAAUAUUUAAAUUGGCACCUCUAAUUUCCAAAAGACAUAAAUACUAGUAUAGAUUUUUAGUUAAGCCAGAAGAAAGUAGACUUUAUUUACUAACAUAACUUAUAUGUAAAGUUUUAAUAAAUCUCCCUGCUCCUUUUCUUUUGCAUCAUAACAACCACUGAAAAUAAUAUUUCUAUAGCAGUUGGGGGUAAAUGAGCAAUGACUUUUGUGGCCAGAGGUGAAUGGCCCAGGGGCUCCUGCACUCCAGGUCCCACUGAGCCUGCCACACAGCUGAGGGCAUCAGCAUUUCCACACACCUACAGUGCACACUGUCCCAGAACACAGAUCCGAUGCUCUCCUUUAUUCACAUGGGGAGUUGAGAGUAUUGUCAUUGUAAGUAAAUUAAUAAAUACAUAUUUAUACACUGUUAAAAUCUGAUUGGAUUUGUGUCCCUUCACAAAACAAAUUGCUUAAAUGAAACCACAG